AAGUCGUAACAAGGUUUCCGUAGGUGAACCUGCGGAAGGAUCAUUACCAAGUUCCAAACUCUUUGGGUCAAACCAAAGUUUUAAACCAAUUGUCUACCAUAAACCUUAUGCUUCGGCAGCCGGUCAGGGCGCGAGCCCGAGCCGUAAGCCUGCCGAUGGCACCCAUUAAACUUAUUUUUAAUGUCUGAAAUGGAUUUAUCAUUCUCGAAUGAAGAAAUCAAA
rnacentral:misc_RNA from 1 species